GAAAUCUUCAAAGCAAACCUUUUGUUAAUUCAAUCGGUCUCUUGCUUUGGUAUUGGAGGUCUUUGCAGCUUCACACCUGCUCCUCUUUGUUCAUUAGCUGGAUCUCAGUGUUAUGCUUGGUUCCACUCGGCGUGAUAAGUUAUCUAUCGCUGAGGACACCGUAAAAAAGUGGCCAAGGUAAAUGCAGACGAACCGCUUCUAAUAGUCCAUUGACUUGGAUAAUUAAAUUUUUAUGAUCUGAUCUCAAAUCAGGUAGGACUACCCGCUGAACUUAA
rnacentral:misc_RNA from 1 species